rnacentral:rRNA from 1 species
ACAACGAAGAGUUUGAUCCUGGCUCAGGAUGAACGCUAGCGACAGGCUUAACACAUGCAAGUCGAGGGGCAGCACAGGUAGCAAUACCGGGUGGCGACCGGCGCACGGGUGAGUAACGCGUAUGCAACUUGCCUAUCAGAGGGGGAUAACCCGGCGAAAGUCGGACUAAUACCGCAUGAAGCAGGGAUCCCGCAUGGGAAUAUUUGCUAAAGAUUCAUC